rnacentral:rRNA from 1 species
AUAAUGGGUCAGCGACUUAUAUUCUGUAGCAAGGUUAACCGAAUAGGGGAGCCGAAGGGAAACCGAGUCUUAACUGGGCGUUAAGUUGCAGGGUAUAGACCCGAAACCCGGUGAUCUAGCCAUGGGCAGGUUGAAGGUUGGGUAACACUAACUGGAGGACCGAACCGACUAAUGUUGAAAAAUUAGCGGAUGACUUGUGGCUGGGGGUGAAAGGCCAAUCAAACCGGGAGAUAGCUGGUUCUCCCCGAAAGCUAUUUAGGUAGCGCCUCGUGAAUUCAUCUCCGGGGGUAGAGCACUGUUUCGGCAAGGGGGUCAUCCCGACUUACCAACCCGAUGCAAACUGCGAAUACCGGAGAAUGUUAUCACGGGAGA